rnacentral:lncRNA from 1 species
AGAGAUAGUUGAUUAUAAUUUAACCACAAGGAGACGACGUUUGACAUGAAUUUGUAUACUUAUUUUUCAUCGUUACUCUUCAGAGAGUGGUAGUUUUCUGAUGGGAAGAAGAAUCAGAAAUUGGCAUUUUUAUCUUUGCAGAUUCCUUCAACAAAUCGAAUGAAGAGAAGGAAUGUGGCGGGAGAACAACGGUCAGGUCCUCCUCAGCCAACUCUAGCAAGCUUUCGUGUGGCACUACCUGCAAAAAAAAAAAAAAAAAAAAGAAUUAAGCAGUAUAGAAAGGGUAAAUGAUGAUGAUGAUUCGUCAAUUUCGU